CAGCAGCCGCGGUAAUACGAAGGGGGCUAGCGUUGCUCGGAAUGACUGGGCGUAAAGGGCGCGUAGGCGGCGAUCAAAGUCAGGCGUGAAAUCCCCGGGCUUAACCUGGGAACUGCAUUUGUGACUGGCGAGCUAGAGUAUGGCAGAGGGGGGUAGAAUUCCACGUGUAGCAGUGAAAUGCGUAGAGAUGUGGAGGAAUACCGAUGGCGAAGGCAGCCCCCUGGGCCAAUACUGACGCUCAUGCACGAAAGCGUGGGGAGCAAACAGGAUUAGAUACCCGCGUAGUCCCUGUCUCUUAUAC
rnacentral:rRNA from 1 species